CGGACGGGUGAGUAACGCGUGGGUAACCUGGCCCAUACAGGGGGAUAACACUUAGAAAUAGGUGCUAAUACCGCAUAAGCGCACAGAGCCGCAUGGCUCAGUGUGAAAAACUCCGGUGGUGUAAGAUGGAUCCGCGUCUGAUUAGCUGGUUGGCGGGGUAGAAGCCCACCAAGGCGACGAUCAGUAGCCGGCCUGAGAGGGUGAACGGCCACAUUGGGACUGAGACACGGCCCAAACUCCUACGGAAGGCAGCAG
rnacentral:rRNA from 1 species